GUAGUCAUAUGCUUGUCUCAAAGAUUAAGCCAUGCAUGUCUAAGUAUAAGCAACUUGUACUGUGAAACUGCGAAUGGCUCAUUAAAUCAGUUAUCGUUUAUUUGAUAGUACCUUACUACAUGGAUACCUGUGGUAAUUCUAGAGCUAAUACAUGCUAAAAACCCCGACUUCAGGAAGGGGUGUAUUUAUUAGAUAAAAAACCAACGCCCUUCGGGGCUCCUUGGUGAAUCAUAAUAACUUAACGAAUCGCAUGGCCUUGCGCCGGCGAUGGUUCAUUCAAAUUUCUGCCCUAUCAACUUUCGAUGGUAGGAUAGUGGCCUACCAUGGUGGCAACGGGUAACGGGGAAUUAGGGUUCGAUUCCGGAGAGGGAGCCUGAGAAACGGCUACCACAUCCAAGGAAGGCAGCAGGCGCGCAAAUUACCCAAUCCCGAUACGGGGAGGUAGUGACAAUAAAUACUGAUACGGGGCUCUUCUGGGUCUCGUAAUUGGAAUGAGAACAAUUUAAAUCCCUUAACGAGG
rnacentral:rRNA from 1 species